CCCUUAGAUGCUCUGGGCCGCACGCGCGCUACGCUGGUCGAUGCAACGAGUUUCUUUCCUUGGCCGACAGGCCUGGGCAAUCUUUGAACAUCGAUCGUGAUCGGGAUAGAUUCUUGUAAUUUUUGAUCUUAAACGAGGAAUUCCUAGUAAACGCAAGUCAUCAGCUUGCAUUGAUUACGUCCCUGCCCUUUGUACACACCGCCCGUCGCACCUACCGAUUGAAUGGUCCGGUGAAAUCUCCGGACUGGCGUGAGUCGGAGCAAUCUGACAAACACCGGAAAGUUGAUUAAACCUUACCAUUUAGAGGAAGGUGAAGUCGUAACA
rnacentral:rRNA from 1 species